UUUUGGGCGUUUUCCCCGCCUCACGAAGAAGGCAAUAGGGGGCACUCGUGUGAGAAAUCAGUUAGUUGACCUGCUAAAAUUCUGCAACUUUUCAGUCGGAUCUGAAUCCUUACGGUUACUCAAAUCCAACUUUUUUCCAUCAUCUAAACAACAUUUUCCAUUCAUUCCAUGCAUAUACCACAUCCAACACAUUUCUAAAUCCCACGAAUCAAGAAUCAAAUUAAAUUCAAAGAGUACCCACAAUUUACACCCCCAUCAUUUACCGGUUAAAUUCAUCUCCACCGCCGGUGUGCCAUGUCACUCCGGCGAACUCGGGUUCUUUCUCAUACAUGCCCAUUUAAGUGCUGGAGCACAAUGGAUUAAGACGUUUAAUAGAACACAAAUAGAGGGAAUAUUACAAUCAAGAAGAAAGCUUUAUGCAGAACUACAGUAAUUUGGAGUAAAGAGGCAUUGUAUUUUGGUUCCUUUCGAAUUUCAAAUAUUAUCCUGCACCUAACAUCAUCAGUAUUAGCAAAUUAAUGGUUCUCGUUGUGGUUUCUCUAAGUUGUUAGUGAAGUUCAGAAUCUCUCUAUGAUGGAAGUCACUAACGGGUACAUGUCAAAUGAGCAUCAGGAGCAACUUCGAUCAACCUCAGAAAGUGCGGAUCCAUUAUCUGUUUCUCCAUUAAAGAUCUCCUCAUCCCCAAAGUCUCCAAGAUCCCCAAAGUCACCACAAUCCCCGAAAUCUUCAAGGUCCCCAAAGGGUCAUGAUCAUAGUAAGCAUGGCACGAACAAGGGCAGCCCACUUAAGAAUUACAGGCAUUCACAUUCUGGAAGAGAUGGCCGCCCUAAAAAAGGUGGUUCUGGGGGAAAAGGAACUUGGGGUGGGUUACUUGAUACGGAUGACCAAUAUGUCCCCCUUGACCCCAACGACCCAAACUACACCAGCAAUGAGGAAAAGGAACAAUUAAGUGCAAGAAAAUCGAGUGCAACAUUUGAGGAGUAUAAAAAGAAAGCUACAAUAAUUGCAGAGGAAUACUUCAACACUGAUGAUGUUAUCUCAACUGCCAAUGAAUUAAGAGAACUAGGAAUGCCAAGCUAUAACUAUUAUUUUGUUAAGAAGCUUAUUUCUAUGGCUAUGGAUAAGCAUGACAAAGAGAAAGAAAUGGCCGCCGUUCUGUUAUCAUCACUUUAUGCUGAUAUCAUUGAUCCACCACAAGUAUACAAAGGUUUCAGAAAACUAGUGGAAUCUGCAGAUGACUUUAUCGUAGAUAUACCAGAUACAGUUGAUGUUCUUGCACUGUUUAUAGCUCGAGGUGUGGUUGAUGACAUACUUCCUCCUGCUUUUUUGACAAAAGAAAUUGCCUCCUUACCCAAUGAUUCAAAGGGAGUUGAUGUCAUUAAAAGAGCUGAGAAGGGCUAUUUAUCGGCCCCUCUUCAUGCAGAAAUCAUUGAGCGCCGUUGGGCUGGAGGCAAGAACAAAACUGUUGAAGAUGUGAAAGGAAAGAUAAAUAAUUUGCUGAUAGAGUAUGUAAUGAGUGAUGACAGGAAAGAGGCUUGCAGGUGCAUUAAGGAUUUGAAUGUUCCAUUCUUCCAUCACGAGAUAGUGAAACGGGCUAUUAUAAUGGCCAUGGAAAGGCAGCAAGCUGAAUGCCAGCUUUUGGAUUUGUUGAAGACGGCUGCUGAAGAAGGUUUGAUCAAUUCAAGUCAGAUAUCAAAGGGAUUUGGACGGAUUAUUGACAAUGUCGAUGACUUAUCGCUUGACAUCCCAAAUGCAAGGAGGAUAUUGCAGUCCUUGAUCUCCAAGGCAGCAUCAGAGGGGUGGUUGUGUGCCUCAUCUUUGAAGUCACUGUCCCUACAGACUGGAAAAUCAUCGUCAUUAGAAGAUAGUGCCGCAAAAUCCUUCAAGAUGAAGGCUCAAUUCAUAGUUCAGGAGUACUUUUUGUCUGGUGAUGUUUCAGAGGUAAUUCAUUGUCUAGAAUCAGAGACCUCUUCUAAUUCCUUGGCCGAAUUGAAUGCUAUAUUUGUUAAGAAACUGAUAAUUCUAGCGAUGGAUCGAAAAAAUAGAGAGAAAGAAAUGGCUUCUAUUUUGUUGUCAUCCUUGUGUUUUCCAGCUGAUGAUGUCGUAAAUGGCUUCAUCUUGCUGCUAGAAUCUGCAGAAGACACUGUUCUGGAUAUUCCAGUUGUUGUUGAUGAUCUUGCGAUGUUUUUAGCAAGAGCAGUGGUGGAUGAAGUCCUUGCCCCGCUGCACUUGGAAGAGAUUAGGAGUCAGUGUUUGGGACCAGACUCAGUUGGGAGCAAAGUGCUUCAAAUGGCAAAUUCACUGCUAAAGGCUCGACUUUCUGGAGAACGAAUAUUAAGGUGUUGGGGUGGUGGAGGGAGCAGCAGCAGCAGCAGGAACGGAUGGGCAAUUGAGGAUGUCAAGGACAAGAUCGGAAAGAUUUUAGAGGAGUUUGAGUCUGGGGGGGAUAUGAAGGAAGCUUGUCGGUGCAUAAAGGAGUUAAGCAUGCCAUUUUUCCACCAUGAGAUUGUUAAGAAAUCAUUGGUGACAGUUAUGGAGAAGAAGAAUGAUAGAUUGUGGGGUUUGCUUCAGGAGUGUUUUAGCAUUGGACUCAUUACGAUGAAUCAAAUGAUGAAGGGUUUUGGAAGAGUGGCAGAAUCUCUUGAUGACUUGGCUUUGGACGUGCCUGAUGCAGAGCAACAAUUUACACGUUAUGUUGACUGGGCCAAGACUGAAGGGUGGUUGGAUUUAUCAUUUUGUUUCACCAGAUCAGGACAUGCAGUGGAGAAUGGCUCUUGUUCAUGAUGCAGAGAUUCGGAUUAAUUCUUAUGGAAUGCAUGUUCAAUUACUAGUGUGCUUGUUGAUGUUUGAGUUGUGGCAAGGUCAUCUUUGGGAGAAGUUUGAGGUGGUGGCACUCCGCUUGCCAGAGGGGAAGGUACAGUGGAUUCUUGAUGUUAAAAUCCGGAGAAAAUGAAGAACGGUUUCUUAGCAUAUUCUGUUCCGAUGACAAUUUUGGUCUGAUUUGAGUACUGAAAAUUAUUGUAGUGAUGAAGCUAAAUCCAUGCUUCUAGUGUUGAACAAAUUAUUGAUGUUCUUUGAUCUUUGCAUCCUUUGAUCAAAGAUGGAUUUGUUUUAUUAUAUGAGAAUUCUGUGCUUAGUCCACAGCAUGUAUGUUUUGUGCUAAACAUGCUCUUAAAUAAGAUGUGAUAUACUCCUAUCUUGCUGAAA